rnacentral:rRNA from 1 species
UUAAGUUAUUAAGGGCGCACGGUGGAUGCCUUGGCACUAGAAGCCGAUGAAGGACGUUACUAACGACGAUAUGCUUUGGGGAGCUGUAAGUAAGCUUUGAUCCAGAGAUUUCCGAAUGGGGAAACCCAGCAUGAGUUAUGUCAUGUUAUCGAUAUGUGAAUACAUAGCAUAUCAGAAGGCACACCCGGAGAACUGAAACAUCUUAGUACCCGGAGGAAGAGAAAGAAAAUUCGAUUCCCUUAGUAGCGGCGAGCGAAACGGGAAGAGCCCAAACCAAAAAGCUUGCUUGUUGGGGUUGUAGGACACUCUAUACGGAGUUACAAAGGACGACAUUAGACGAAUCAUCUGGAAAGAUGAAUCAAAGAAGGUAAUAAUCCUGUAGUCGAAAAUGUUGUCUCUCUUGAGUGGAUCCUGAGUACGACGGAGCACGUGAAAUUCCGUCGGAAUCUGGGAGGACCAUCUCCUAAGGCUAAAUACUCUCUAGUGACCGAUAGUGAACCAGUACCGUGAGGGAAAGGUGAAAAGCACCCCGGAAGGAGAGUGAAAUAGAACCUGAAACCGUGUGCUUACAAGUAGUCAGAGCCCGUUAAUGGGUGAUGGCGUGCCUUUUGUAGAAUGAACCGGCGAGUUACGAUUUGAUGCAAGGUUAAGCAGUAAAUGUGGAGCCGUAGCGAAAGCGAGUCUGAAUAGGGCGUUUAGUAUUUGGUCGUAGACCCGAAACCAGGUGAUCUACCCUUGGUCAGGUUGAAGUUCAGGUAACACUGAAUGGAGGACCGAACCGACUUACGUUGAAAAGUGAGCGGAUGAACUGAGGGUAGCGGAGAAAUUCCAAUCGAACCUGGAGAUAGCUGGUUCUCUCCGAAAUAGCUUUAGGGCUAGCCUCAAGUGAUGAUUAUUGGAGGUAGAGCACUGUUUGGACGAGGGGCCCCUCUCGGGUUACCGAAUUCAGACAAACUCCGAAUGCCAAUUAAUUUAACUUGGGAGUCAGAACAUGGGUGAUAAGGUCCGUGUUCGAAAGGGAAACAGCCCAGACCACCAGCUAAGGUCCCAAAAUAUAUGUUAAGUGGAAAAGGAUGUGGCGUUGCCCAGACAACUAGGAUGUUGGCUUAGAAGCAGCCAUCAUUUAAAGAGUGCGUAAUAGCUCACUAGUCGAGUGACACUGCGCCGAAAAUGUACCGGGGCUAAACAUAUUACCGAAGCUGUGGAUUGUCCUUUGGACAAUGGUAGGAGAGCGUUCUAAGGGCGUUGAAGCAUGAUCGUAAGGACAUGUGGAGCGCUUAGAAGUGAGAAUGCCGGUGUGAGUAGCGAAAGACGGGUGAGAAUCCCGUCCACCGAUUGACUAAGGUUUCCAGAGGAAGGCUCGUCCGCUCUGGGUUAGUCGGGUCCUAAGCUGAGGCCGACAGGCGUAGGCGAUGGAUAACAGGUUGAUAUUCCUGUACCACCUAUAAUCGUUUUAAUCGAUGGGGGGACGCAGUAGGAUAGGCGAAGCGUGCGAUUGGAUUGCACGUCUAAGCAGUAAGGCUGAGUAUUAGGCAAAUCCGGUACUCGUUAAGGCUGAGCUGUGAUGGGGAGAAGACAUUGAGUCUUCGAGUCGUUGAUUUCACACUGCCGAGAAAAGCCUCUAGAUAGAAAAUAGGUGCCCGUACCGCAAACCGACACAGGUAGUCAAGAUGAGAAUUCUAAGGUGAGCGAGCGAACUCUCGUUAAGGAACUCGGCAAAAUGACCCCGUAACUUCGGGAGAAGGGGUGCUCUUUAGGGUUAACGCCCAGAAGAGCCGCAGUGAAUAGGCCCAAGCGACUGUUUAUCAAAAACACAGGUCUCUGCUAAACCGUAAGGUGAUGUAUAGGGGCUGACGCCUGCCCGGUGCUGGAAGGUUAAGAGGAGUGGUUAGCUUCUGCGAAGCUACGAAUCGAAGCCCCAGUAAACGGCGGCCGUAACUAUAACGGUCCUAAGGUAGCGAAAUUCCUUGUCGGGUAAGUUCCGACCCGCACGAAAGGCGUAACGAUUUGGGCACUGUCUCAACGAGAGACUCGGUGAAAUCAUAGUACCUGUGAAGAUGCAGGUUACCCGCGACAGGACGGAAAGACCCCGUGGAGCUUUACUGUAGCCUGAUAUUGAAAUUCGGCACAGCUUGUACAGGAUAGGUAGGAGCCUUUGAAACGUGAGCGCUAGCUUACGUGGAGGCGCUGGUGGGAUACUACCCUAGCUGUGUUGGCUUUCUAACCCGCACCACUUAUCGUGGUGGGAGACAGUGUCAGGCGGGCAGUUUGACUGGGGCGGUCGCCUCCUAAAAGGUAACGGAGGCGCUCAAAGGUUCCCUCAGAAUGGUUGGAAAUCAUUCAUAGAGUGUAAA